rnacentral:tRNA from 2 species
GCCGGUGUGGCGGAAUGGCAGACGCGACCGACUCAAAAUCGGUUGUCUUCGGACGUGUGGGUUCGACUCCCACCACCGGUACCA